rnacentral:lncRNA from 1 species
AAGUAUUCCAUGGCUUUUAUUUCAUAUAUUCCUGGUGACAUAACUUGUCCUUUUGUUUAACAACCUAACCCAAAAAUCCUGUCAGUGCAAGCAUGCAUGUGGUCAUGAUACUGAAGUUUGAUGUGUAGAAAAAUAUUUUACUAUGCUCUCAUUUUGGCUGCAUAGAGGAUGGAGUUUUUGGUAAAGAACCUAACAGUGUGAAAAACAGACACACUGCUAAAAGUAAUUUCACAAAAAAAUUGAAUGUAUAAAUGGAAAGUACAAAGAGAUAGUUGAUAUCCAUAGUCUACUUGUGUUUAUCUAAACAGAAGGACUUUACCAAAUAUAAAUAAGGUCAGGGUAUUUCAUUCUACACAACCUACUCAUCCUAGAAAUUGACUCAGAAAGUAUGUAAGAGUACUUACUGUGAAUCACAACAUUACAUUCAAAGAGUGACUUUAAUGCU